GUCGUCUCAGCCUAGAAUCAUGGCAGGAAAUGAAAUCUCAAAACGUCAAUAACGAACAAUUUGUCUGAAAUUCUGAACGAGACAGAGACAGAGACAGUGA